rnacentral:rRNA from 1 species
GACGAACGCUGGCGGCGUGCCUAAUACAUGCAAGUCGAACGCUUUUUCUUUCACCGGAGCUUGCUCCAUCGAAAGAAAAAGAGUGGCGAACGGGUGAGCAACACGUGGGUAACCUGCCCAUCAGAAGGGGAUAACACUUGGAAACAGGUGCUAAUACCGUAUAACACUAUUUUCCGCAUGGAAGAAAGUUGAAAGGCGCUUUUGCGUCACUGAUGGAUGGACCCGCGGUGCAUUAGCUAGUUGGUGAGGUAACGGCUCACCAAGGCAACGAUGCAUAGCCGACCUGAGAGGGUGAUCGGCCACACUGGGACUGAGACACGGCCCAGACUCCUACGGGAGGCAGCAGUAGGGAAUCUUCGGCAAUGGACGAAAGUCUGACCGAGCAACGCCGCGUGAGUGAAGAAGGUUUUCGGAUCGUAAAACUCUGUUGUUAGAGAAGAACAAGGAUGAGAGUAAAAUGUCAUCCCCU